CCUACGGGGUGCAGCAGUAGGGAAUCUUUCACAAUGGGCGAAAGCCUGAUGGAGCAACGCCGCGUGCAGGAUGAAGGCCUUCGGGUUGUAAACUGCUUUUAUAAGCGAGAAAUAUGAUGGUAACUUAUGAAUAAGGAUCGGCUAACUACGUGCCAGCAGCCGCGGUCAUACGUAGGAUCCGAGCAUUAUCCGGAGUGACUGGGUGUAAAGAGUUGCGUAGGUGGCAUAAUAAGUAGCUAGUGAAAUCUGGUGGCUCAACCAUUCAGACUAUUAGCUAAACUGUUAAGCUCGAGACCGUUAGGGGUAACUGGAAUUUCUAGUGUAGGAGUGAAAUCCGUAGAUAUUAGAAGGAACACCAAUAGCGUAGGCAGGUUGCUGGGACGGCUCUGACACUAAGGCACGAAAGCGUAGGGAGCAAACGGGAUUAGAUACCCGGGUAGUC
rnacentral:rRNA from 1 species